UUAAAGAAUUUGAAGACUUCAACUUGCAGACUUGAAGAAUUUGAAGACUUCAACUUGCAGACUUAAAGAAUUUGAAGACUUCAACU
rnacentral:pre_miRNA from 1 species